rnacentral:rRNA from 1 species
GGAACUGGGUCUAAUACCGGAUAGGACCGCACUUUAGUGUGUGUGGUGGAAAGUUUUUUCGGUGUAGGAUGAGCUCGCGGCCUAUCAGCUUGUUGGCGGGGUAAUGGCCUACCAAGGCGGCGACGGGUAGCCGGCCUGAGAGGGUGUACGGCCACAUUGGGACUGAGAUACGGCCCAG